rnacentral:lncRNA from 1 species
AGAGAUUUUGUCCUUUGUCUUCAGCUACCAGAGCAGGGGCCUGCAACAGCAAUCUGCCUCCUUCAAAGGGUCUGUGGAUCCUCUUGGCUUUCCCGGUAUGUUCCUGUGGUAGUUCUUGGAGCAAAAGUUCACGAUGUGAGUCUCCACACACUGCUCUGUCCACUGGAGUGGGAGCUGCAAGUUAGUCCUGCCUCCAAUCUGCCAUUUUCCCCCACCUGAUCCAUCAUUCUAUUCUCUUUGUCUGAGGGGAAGGCUUGGAGCAGAUGGCAGAAGAAGCUGUUUAGGUAGCCUAAAAUGCAUUGUCAUUACAUUUGUCUGGAAGGCAAAGCCUGGGCUGGAGAUCUAGGCGGGAUCUGGCACAUCAUCACCACCUUUCCUGGUGUUUACUUAAAUGAAUUCUCAAGAUUAACUCUGAAGCCAUGGUAAAACAAAUAGAGAUCAUGUAUUGUUCUCCAAAGAUUCUCCAUCAUAUACUUGUAGAGCUGGUCUACACCAUGAUCUUGUCAUAGGGAAUAACAAAAUAGUAAGAGUGGGAUGUUAGAAUGAGAUCAACAAAUAACUUUACCUUUGAACAGAUGUUAAAUUGCAGUGUGUGGGGCUCAAUUUACUAUUAUCAAAUAUCUUCCCUAUAAAAAUACACAUUUAUCUGACUGGAAAGACAUUCAGAGUUUUAGGCAGACAAACAAAUGUAUGUGAACAUCUAACCUGCUUUAAAAUUCUGAACAUUUCUAUUAAACGCUGGGUCAAAAUUCUGGUUCUUGUUGAGUUGUCUUUUUUCUUCUUUGCAGCUCUCUCACUGGGCUUGACUAAAUGAAGAAGUUAGGUUUGUUGUCUGCAAUAAUCUAAGGCUUUUAGAAAACUCAACUUGGGAUGUCC